AGAUAUCUUCCCCUCACUAGUCCCUAAGUUACCAGAUAUCUAUCUCCACACAACUGUACAGUUGUCAGAUGUCAAUCCAUCAGAUACUAGAUAUCUUCCCCUCACUAGUCCCCAAGUUACCAGAUAUUUAUCUUCACACAACUCCACAGUUGACAGAUAUCUAUCCAUGAGAUGCUAGAUAUCUUCCCCUCACUAGUCCCCAAGUUCCCAGAAUCUAUAUCUAUCUCCGCACAACUUCCCAGUUGACUGAUAUCAAUCCAUGAGAUACUAGAUAUCUUCCCCUCACUAGUCCCCAAGUUACCAGAUAUCUAUCUCCACACAACUCUACAGUUGUCAGAUAUCAAUCCAUGAGAUACUAGAUAUCUUCCCUCCACUAGUCCCCAAGUUACCAGAUAUGUAUCUCCACAUAACUCCCCAGUUGACAGAUAUCAAUCCAUGAGAUACUAGAUAUCUUCCCCGCUUUAGUCCCCAAGUUACUGGAUAUCUAUCUCCACACAACUCCCCAGAUGACAGAUAUCAAUCCACGAGACACUAGAUAUCUUCCCCUCACUAGUCCCCACUUUAGUUACUGGAUAUCUAUCUCCCCACAACUCCCCAGUUGACUGAUAUCAAUCCAUGAUAUACUAGAUAUCUUCCCCUCACUAGUCCCCAAGUUACCAGAUAUCUAUCCCCACAAAAAUCCACAGUAGACAGAUAUCAAUCCAUGAGACACUAAAUAUUUUUCCCCUCAGGCUAAGCGUUUUACUAGUCCCCAAGUUACCAGAUAUUUAUCCAUGACAUACCAGAUAUCUAUUCCCUUACUAGUCCCCAAAUUAAUCCAUGACAUACCAGAUAUCUUGUUCAGCCAACAAGGCAUUGAAAUAACAAACUAUAAGCCCAUUCUAUCUUAAAUUUGAAAGAGAAGUUUUGAAAGCCUCAUAGGCUCGUUACUGCAUUUCUCCCGGCUUUCUAACUCUUAAGGACAAAGG
rnacentral:lncRNA from 1 species